rnacentral:lncRNA from 1 species
AUUGGAGGGAGUGGGUAAGGAGGCAGCCUCUGAGUUCCUGCACUUGUCUCUCCCUCUUCUUCUCACAACAGGAACCAAAUGGACAUUUUCUCCCAGGUACACUUACUGUAAUGAAAUCCAUAGACUGGACAAGAAGCAUCCUUUAGCUACCGCCGCCGCGUCCUGCCCACUCAGUCACCUCGGCUUCCCACAACCAAGUGCAGAAACAGGCCCGAGCUACAAGAGCUGAAUUAACAAGAACAAGCUGGCAGGUGAGCUAUGUGACAAAAAAGAAGGAGGAGAAGGAAGGGAAACAAAAAAAAAAGAGAAAGAAACCUAAGAGAUUUGACAAUAUAUUCUAAUCACUACCCGUCUGUGGAAAUCUUGAACAGAUUUAAAUGGCUUUUCUCUGAGACACCAAAAAGUUACUGCAAUCGUGGACCAAACUCGAAGCUGUAAAAGCAAAGGGGUUCGGAUGUAAUAAUAGCGUGCAGCCAAUAAACAACUGUAGGCUGCUAAAAAAAAAAAAAAAAAAAAAAUAGAAGGAGACGGCAAUCUAUUGACAGGCUGGCUCAGGAGUUCUGAUAACUGCUCAUCAUAGCGCAGAAUUUGGCCUUUGACAUUUUAAGUAGCUGGAAGGGAUGGUCCCUCCUGACCUCACUCUGUAUUAUACAAACAAAUGCAUCACCAUGUAAAAGUUUGGCUGAUACAUGAUAGACCUGUAGGUCAAAGACCAGAAUUUAUAAGUCCCCCGAAUGGUUUCCAUCUCUGCUUAUGAGUAUCCAGGUCACAGUCGGGCAGAGCAGUGAGGCGUUUCAUCAACCCACUAUUAAUUGUUAAAUAUCUGCCGAUGCUUGGAGCUGUGCUCACUUAAAAAUGAUGCAGUUGACUUUCUGUCGAGAUGGUUUUCAGUCUUGCUCCUCAAACUGUUAUCAGCGCUCUGGUUAUACGGUGGAUUGUGGCCGUCGCUUCUGACGGUAAUACAGGGGAUGAUUUGUUAUG